rnacentral:rRNA from 1 species
GUGGGGAAUAUUGGGCAAUGGGCGCAAGCCUGACCCAGCAACGCCGCGUGAGGGAAGAAGGCUUUCGGGUUGUAAACCUCUGUCCUUGGUGACGAAAAAAAUGACGGUAGCCAAGGAGGAAGCUCCGGCUAACUACGUGCCAGCAGCCGCGGUAAUACGUAGGGGGCGAGCGUUGUCCGGAAUUACUGGGCGUAAAGGGUGCGUAGGUGGCCUUUUAAGUUGGAUGUGAAAUACCCGGGCUUAACUUGGGGGGUGCAUCCAAAACUGGGAGGCUAGAGUGCAGGAGAGGAAAGCGGAAUUCCUAGUGUAGCGGUGAAAUGCGUAGAUAUUAGGAGGAACACCAGUGGCGAAGGCGGCUUUCUGGACUGUAACUGACACUGAGGCACGAAAGCGUGGGGAGCAAACAGGAUUAGAUACCCCGGUAGUCC